ACAGCCCCGGAGCGCGGCCUGCCGGGGAGGUGGAUCUCGCGCUCCCCACAGUCACACUCCGCGCACUCACACACUUGGAAGCGCCUCCCCACGUCCCUCCCCUGCCCUCCUCUUGCUCUGCUCUUCUCUCCCUCACCACAAAUAGUCGCCGACCUACUGCCAAUCCGCCUCUCUCUGCCUCUCCUCUCUCUCUCUCUCUCUCUCUGUCUCAACAUGACUGACUGGGAAGCGGUGGCUCGGGCAGAGCAGCUCCGCUGGCGCAGGCAGGAGGAGCAGGAGGAUUAUUAAAUAACGCAGCUGGACUCUGUGCAACUGGGAGUGGAGAGGAGCCCAACAGCCGAGAAGGGGAGGGAGGGCAGAGGAGGGGGACCAGGAAGGACACCCCCGUGCCCCGAAGACAUAAAUCCCUGAGUGCCCGGGAGGAGCCUUAACAAGCGCACGGAGCCCUCAAGGCUGCAAAGUUGGCUUUCACAGUGCAAGCCUUUGAGUCCCAAUGGGGGACUCAGGAUCAAGACGAUCUACCCUGGUCUCCCGGUUGCCAAUAUUCAGAAGAAGUAUUAACAAAAGACAUGAUUCUCUUCCUUCUUCACCUUCUUCCAGUAAUACAGUUGGUGUCCACAGUUCCUCUCCUUCCAGCACUAACUCAAGCUCAGGUAGCACAGGUAAACGGAGGAGCAUAUUCCGUACUCCUUCCAUUAGCUUCCACCAUAAGAAGGGGAGUGAGCCUAAGCAAGAGCCUACCAACCAGAACCUUAGUAUUUCAAAUGGUGCUCAACCUGGUCACAGCAAUAUGCAGAAACUGAGUUUGGAAGAACAUAUUAAGACCAGGGGAAGACAUUCUGUUGGUUUUAGUAGUUCACGAAAUAAGAAGAUAACGAGAUCUUUGACAGAGGAUUUUGAAAGGGAAAAAGAGCACUCAACUAACAAGAAUGUCUUUAUAAAUUGUCUAAGUUCCGGCAGAAGUGAAGGGGAUGAUUCUGGUUUCACAGAAGACCAAACUCGUCGUUCUGUUAAGCAGUCAACAAGAAAGCUACUCCCUAAAUCUUUUUCAUCUCACUAUAAAUUUUCUAAGCCAGUUCUACAGAGCCAAUCCAUUUCAUUGGUACAACAGUCUGAAUUCUCACUGGAAGUUACACAGUACCAAGAGAGAGAACCUGUAUUAGUAAGAGCUUCGCCAUCCUGUUCUGUGGAUGUAACAGAACGGGCAGGAAGCUCUUUACAAUCUCCUUUGCUUUCUGCUGAUCUUACCACAGCUCAGACACCUUCAGAAUUUUUAGCCUUGACUGAAGAUUCUGUGUCUGAAAUGGAUGCAUUUUCUAAAAGUGGAAGCAUGGCAUCCCACUGUGACAACUUUGUCCACAAUGAUUCUACCUCUCAGAUGUCUCUCAAUUCUGCUGCUGUUACAAAGACAACAACAGAACUUACGGGAACUGUUCCCUGUGCAAUUAUGUCUCCUGGGAAAUAUAGGUUAGAGGGUCAAUGUAGCACUGAAUCUAAUUCAUUACCGGAAACCUCUGCUGCUAAUCAGAAGGAAGUGUUAUUACAAAUUGCUGAACUACCUGCUACAAGUGUGAGCCACUCAGAGAGUAACCUACCAGCAGAUAGUGAAAGAGAAGAAAAUAUAGGGUUACAAAAUGGUGAAACAAUGCUGGGGACAAACUCCCCAAGGAAACUUGGAUUUUAUGAGCAACAUAAAGCAAUAGCUGAACAUGUAAAAGGGAUCCAUCCUAUUUCAGAUUCAAAGAUAAUACCUACUUCUGGUGAUCAUCAUAUUUUUAACAAAACAUCACAUGGAUAUGAAGCAAAUCCUGCCAAAGUUCUUGCCAGUAGUCUCAGUCCAUUUCGUGAAGGAAGAUUUAUAGAGAGGAGACUGCGAUCCUCGUCAGAAGGCACUGCAGGGAGUAGCAGAAUGAUUUUGAAACCGAAAGAUGGAAAUAUAGAAGAAGUUAAUAGUUUAAGAAAGCAAAGAGCAGGUUCUUCAUCUUCAAAAAUGAACAGUUUGGAUGUUUUGAAUAAUUUGGGAUCUUGUGAACUGGAUGAAGAUGAUCUAAUGCUUGAUCUUGAAUUUUUAGAGGAACAGAGUCUUCACCCUUCUGAACUACUGCAGGAACAUACCAGGAAAGCCAAGAGAAUCCACAGACCUUUGAAGGAAUUGGAUCACCACCACAGGCUCCCUGAGACGGCAAAAAACUUUUGCCGGGAGGACUCAUAUCACUCUGUCGUCUCAUGUGCCGCAGUAGUUCUUACUCCUAUGGAACCAACGAUAGAAAUGAAGAAAAGAGAAGAACCAGAAUUUCCUGAGCCUUCCAAACAGAAUCUUUCCCUGAAAUUAACAAAGGACGUUGAUCAAGAAGCCAGGUGUUCCCACAUCAGCCGAAUGCCCAACAGUCCAUCUGCGGAUUGGCCUCUACAAGGUGUGGAAGAAAACGGAGGCAUAGAUUCUCUGCCAUUCAGACUGAUGUUACAGGACUGCACGGCAGUCAAGACGUUAUUAUUAAAGAUGAAGAGAGUUCUUCAAGAGAGUGCAGACAUGAGUCCAGCAAGCAGUACCACGUCACUUCCUGUUAGUCCUCUUACUGAAGAGCCAGUGCCUUUCAAGGAUAUAAUGAAAGAUGAAUGCUCGAUGCUCAAGCUGCAGCUGAAAGAGAAGGAUGAACUCAUUUCCCAACUUCAGGAAGAGCUGGGAAAAGUCCGGCAUUUACAGAAGGCUUUUGCUUCAAGAGUAGAUAAAUCCACACAGACUGAACUACUAGGCUAUGAUGAGCGUUAACGUCAUGAAUCCUGUGGUUCACCACUUCAUGUCUGAAGGGUUUAAACUUGAAAAGACUAGAGACAGUACAAGGAGGGAGAGAGGCAUCUUCUUUGGAUGGGUAUGCACACAUUUGAAAGUGUAGAUGAACGCAAAGAGAUUUUAUACCACUGCACUGUUCAUGUCCUGUAUGGCUUGCUGUUUACUGAACUGUGGCCUCUUCAUUUAUAUUUUGGUGAGUGUUUCAUCUCAUAAUGAUUGAUAAAAUAUUUACAAGUGACAGGGCUGACUCUUCCCUGAAGGCACAAAGAAAAAGAGUAUUAUGCUAGACAUUAAAAUGUUUAGGUACCUGGAUGUACUUUGAAGGAAAUGUUCCACAAGUGGAAGCGUUUGGUGUUAUAAUGGACCUCAUAAACAAAUCACUAGGUAGGAGAGAUUUACAAACAUUUUUAAGGACAUUGUCAGCAAGCGGUGUUGUCUGGGCUUACUAGGAACUCAGGACACAGAAAGUAGAAGAAUCUUUGCUAAAGAACAAUGCCUGUUAUGCCACAUAUUUUCAUAGAGGCUAUCCUUUAACAACUUAUUUGCACAGUGCAUUCUCAGUUCUGAAAAAUGUAUCCUUGCUGUUGCACUAGCAUGCACAUAUUUGGAAGUGUACAUAAACAAAAAGUUUGGGAAUUACUGGCCCAGGACAUUCAAAUCAUCAUUAGCCUAUUUUUUCAAAGAAUGUUAAUCAACCAUUUAGUGGAAUGUAGUCAACAGUAAUGUAUUGCCAAGUUAAUGACACCAAAAAUAUAAGGGAAAUAUUUGGGAGCCCUAGAUUUUUUUUUAACACAGAAGCAACCAAAUAAAUGUAUAAAACAUAAUUUGUAAUUUUUUAUGACUAGAAAUGAAUUAAGUUUACUUCUUAAUAAAAUGGAAAACAAUUGAAAUUAUUUGAAUAUGGUCAAAAAGUGGUUACUUUUUAGGCUACUGGCCUAAACCCUAUGGGAAAGUGAGCUGCCUACCUUUUUUAAGGACACUUUUUUUAGUUGUUCUCAUUUUCAUGCUGAGUUCUUUCCCUUGCAUAUUAUUCUGAAGUAUUUUCUCCUCCUCUUUUUUAAAAAUAGCAACAUAUUUUCAAAUACAAAAAGUGAGUAUUUUAAAUCUUGUCCGUCCUUUUUAGAUGAUUACUCUAUUCUAAUUUUACAACCACCUGUCCAGACAUUGGAGCACAUGCAGAUACCUCAUUGGCUUACUAUUCUUUUCCUUCUAAUGGCAAGGCUGAUAUUUGUUAAUACAGCUAUUUAAAAUAAAACCACCAACAACAAAUUCUUCAAGGAGGCCACUGAUGAUUCUGUAAAAAUGUAUGUGUGUGUGUUUGUGUGCAUGUGCACGCGUGUGCUCACAUGAAUGAGCUCAAGUGGGUUCCUAGACAGAUUUCAUUAAAUAGAAAGAAAGAGAGAAACAUACAAUCUGUUUGCUAGUAUACUGAUGUUUGCAGAAAACCCUUAUCAAAAUUUAAUGACCCUAAAGGUGGUUAUCGAUUUUCCUUUUUCUUCAGACAAUAUUUCAUUUGUGAUAUUGACUUGCCACAAAUGAAUGUUUGCUUAAGACAGUGUUACAUGUUAUAGAGCAAUACUACAUAAAAGGCUUGCAGCUCUUGUACUCUACAAGGAACAACCAAGGCACUCAUAGAUAGCAAUGGAAUGUAAAACCAAAGCCAACCUGUCUUUUUCAUUCUUUUCAUGUAUAUAUAGGAAUAUAUAAGAAUUUAAUUUUUUCCUUAGGUUUAUGAGGAAUAUCUUGCCAAUGUGAAUCUGGAUUUGGAAGAACGAUACGUUAGUGCAUUAGUUUCCCAGGCCUGCCAUAACAGAGGGCCACAAACUGGGUGGCUUAACCAACAGCAAUUUAUUGUCUCAGAUUUCUGAAGGCUAGAGGUCCAAGAUCAAGGUAUUGGCAGGGCCUUCCUGCCUCUGAAGGCUCUAGGGAAUGAUAUAUUCCAGGCCUCUCUCUUAACAUCUCAUAGUUACUUUGGCAUGUGGCAGCAAUUCCAAUCCUCACAAUCUCCUUAUGUGGUUGUCUGUCUCCAAAUUUACCUUUUUAAUAAAAACACUAGUCAUAUUAGAGCCCACCUACUAAAGCUUAGAGUGGAAGCUUAGCUAGUUUUAGACACCCCUAUGCCACAUCCCAUGUUCUGCAUUCCACGAUUGUGGCUUGAGUCCUUUUAAUCGCAACAUUGGCCUGAUUGGCUGCCAUUUUAUUAUCGUGCCUUGACCAUUGUUAUUCCCUGCUCUGCUGUGCUUUCUUGCAUAAUGACAAUGUCUUCCCUGGGCCAGAUUGGAAGAAGAAUUGUCCUGGGCCAAACAUAAAAUACACGAACACUAACAAUAGCUGAUGAGCUAAAACCAAUGC